CAGUAGCCGCGGUAGUACGGAGGGUGCGAGCGUUAAUCGGAAUUACUGGGCGUAAAGAGUGCGUAGGUGGUUAAUUAAGUUAUCUGUGAAAUUCCUGGGCUUAACCUGGGCAGGUCAGAUAAUACUGGUUAACUCGAGUAUGGGAGAGGGUAGUGGAAUUUCCGGUGUAGCGGUGAAAUGCGUAGAGAUCGGAAGGAACACCAGUGGCGAAGGCGGCUACCUGGCCUAAUACUGACACUGAGGCACGAAAGCGUGGGGAGCAAACAGGAUUAGAUACCCGCGUAGUCCCUGUCUCUUAUAC
rnacentral:rRNA from 1 species